rnacentral:rRNA from 1 species
GACGAACGCUGGCGGCGUGCUUAACACAUGCAAGUCGAGCGGAAAGGCCCUGCUUUUGUGGGGUUCUCGAUUGCCGAACGCGUGUGUAUAACGUGAGUAACCCCCCCUUAUAUGUGUGAGAUCUUUUGGAAACUGCGGCUAAUACCGGAUAUAAUCUCCUGCUGCAUGGUGGUGAUUGGAAAGUUACGGCGUUUGUGGCUCUUCUAGAGGCUUACGCGCCGCAUGAGGUAGUUGGGGAGGUAACAGCUUACCAAGGCUACGAGGCGUAGCCGAACUGAGAGAGUGAUCGGCCACACUGGAACUUAGACACGGUCCAGACUCCUACGGGAGGCAGCAGUAGGGAAUCUGCCGCAAUGGGCGAAAGCCUGACGGAGCAACGCCGCGUGAGAGAUGACGGUCUUCGGAUCGUAAAACUCGGUUAUUAGGGAAGAACAAAUGUGUAAGGAACUAUGCACGUCUUGACGGUACCUAAUCAGAAAGCCACGGCUAACUACGUG